UACGUAGGGUGCAAGCGUUAUCCGGAAUUAUUGGGCGUAAAGAGCUCGUAGGCGGUUUGUCGCGUCUGCUGUGAAAACUGGAGGCUCAACCUCCAGCCUGCAGUGGGUACGGGCAAACUAGAGUGCGGUAGGGGAGAUUGGAAUUCCUGGUGUAGCGGUGGAAUGCGCAGAUAUCAGGAGGAACACCGAUGGCGAAGGCAGAUCUCUGGGCCGUAACUGACGCUGAGGAGCGAAAGCAUGGGGAGC
rnacentral:rRNA from 1 species